AAGCGUAACAAGGUUUCCGUAGGUGAACCUGCGGAAGGAUCA
rnacentral:rRNA from 1 species